AGGGGGGAGGGGACAAGUACUGAACAAAAGUAAAAUAAUCAUGUUAAUGAAGUAAAUGUUGUUUUUUUUUCUUUUACAAUGUAAAAGCCAAUAAUAAUAUCACAAACAUGGUACGCCACAUAGAUCAGUGACAGCAUCACUUACUAUUCAAAAAAUGAGAUUAUUCAAGUUAUACAUGUCCCAACAAAAUACGAUUAUUACAUCUUACUCAUGUUACUAUGUUGAUUGACUAUUUAUUGUCAUAUAUAUACAAAAAAUAGCAUUUAUAGCAUUAUAUAUAAGCAUACAAUACGUAAUUUCAUUACACAUAAACUUGGGCUAUGCACUUAGUCCCAGUGGUAUUUGAAAAGAAAAGAGUUUGUUUCUGAGUAUUUUUAUUUUUAUGUUUUGUUUAGUGUUUUAUGUAUUGCUGCAAUCUUUCUUUUUAAAUCUUUAACCACAAGUGUCUCUACAAGUAGUUGUUUUACCAGCAUCAUAGAAUUUCAACUUUUUUCAAAUUCUUAGUUGGAUUCAUCAGUUUCCUAGUGAGCACCUGUUUAAGGUUUGAAUUUUGACCCAUUUUAAAUGAUUGUUACCUAUAUAACCUGGAUAUUACAUAUGUAUAUGUGACUGUCAAUAGUAAAUGCAGAGCACUACAAGUGUAGUCUAGAUCUAAAUGUAUAGUUUUAUUGUUGCUGACUAAAGUUUAAGUUUGAUGGAGAAGCUUGUUUUAUUCAUUGAAUCAACAGAAACACAUUUCUGAUGUACCAGCCUAACAUAUUUUUCCCUAGACUUGACCAUCAAUUGGACAAUGCAAUGCCAUUAGAAAACAAAAUUUCAAUUACCAAAAUUUCAAUUAUCGGUAUAAGUUUGAGGUCACUUAAAACAGGAUUUUCAAAUCCUUGGUGAUUAAAUGAGUCGUUGACACACAAUGUAGGAAGAAACAGUUUAUUGACAUUGUAAGCAAUCUUUUGUGACUUCCAAGUGAUGCCAUCAUUUAUUGUUAUAGACUACAUGGGACAGUUAGCGUUACAUUUUGUUUUUGUCUUAAGCAAUAGCAUUGUGUAACUCUUGUAGUCUUAUUUUCUUGUUUUAGAUCUGCAAUUUAGAAUUAAUAAAUUUAUUAUAUUACAAUGAUAAAUUUAUGACUUUAUAGAAAUACUUAUCACAUCACUAUGAAAGAUUUAUAACUUUACAGAAAUACUUAUCACAUCAGAAUUCCCUACGACUAUUAUACAUCAACCUGACAAAGUAGCUUAUCCAAAAAGUGGGAAAACAUAUGAGUCCAUGAAGAAAUUUCCAUAUAAUGUAUUUUAAUACAACUAGAAAAUAAAAAUGUCCAAAGCAAAAGAAUGAUGUAAAUUCUUUCAGGUCUUCCACUUAAAAGUUUUGAAACAUUGAUCUGUAUUUUGACUGUAUAAAAUUCUGAAGAAGUAGCAAUUAGUUUUUAGAUUCAAAAUGUUUAUUUUUUUAAGACAAUUAGUUUACUCUAAAUCCAAAGCAGAAUAAGGAAAAACCGAGUCCCUCAUUAUUGAAGUGCAAGUGAUCAAUAGAUGUAUGCUUUGAAUUAAAAUAUCUACACUGUAAAAAUAAGGCCUAGAAGAUUACUUUCAUCUUCUAAGUUUAAAAUCAUUGGAAACUACAGUCAUAACAUUCAAGUUAAGAAUCACUACAAAGGAAAAAAACAUGAAAUGUUUUUAUGCAUACAAUGCUUGAGUAAAACCAAUGUUAAAUAGAUUCAACUCUUCCACCUGUCCAGUACACUAAAUGUCCAGUACAGUAAAUGUAGUCC